UCCGGUGGCGGCGCAGAUCAGUCCGGUGGCGAUGCCGAGCCCCAUGUUAAUCAGCGUGACCGUGAGGAGAUAGCCGCCGAGAUUGCUUUCGAUCUCGUUCAGGAUACGCAAGACGCGCAGCCGCUCGUCACGAUCGGUGAAAUUCAGCACCAGGGCGCGGCGCAGGUCGGGCCAGCUUGCAAUGAAAAGCACGAGAACCGCGAAGAACAGCAGGAUCUCGGUGAGCGUCGGAGAGAGGAAUUCCAGCGUCGGC
rnacentral:misc_RNA from 1 species